rnacentral:RNase_P_RNA from 1 species
GGCAGAGGGAGCCCGGUUCCCGUGCCCCAGCGCGCCGGUCCGGCCCCGCCGGGCCGCGCAAGGGGCAUGAGGAAAGUCCCCCCACCGUCCGGGCAGGUGACCGGGUGCAAACCCGGAGCGGGAGACCGCUGGCGCUGGAACAGAAACGAGACCCCUCUCCCCGACCGAUGAGGCGCGCGAACCCCGAGCGAGGCACCCCGCCGAAGCGAGGGGGAGUCGACCCGCCGAGGGACGCGAGGCGACGCCAGUCGCCUCGACGCGAGCGGCGAAAGCCCCGGGAAGCGUGGCCGCGUCGGCGGCCACGGAUACCGAGCGGGCACACGCCCGUGCGGAACGGGGCGGACGCCGCGAGCGGCGACGGGAGAGAACGGAUGGAACGGCGAACCCUCACCGGUGCAAGCCCGUCCGGUCGAGGUAGCCCGGACGCACGGGCGGGCGCUCAGCCCAAUGCCGGGUCGAAACAGAAGGGGGCUUACUCCCCUCAGCC